rnacentral:rRNA from 1 species
GGGGAAAAAUUAACUAAAUUAAAAUUAAUAAAAUAAAUUUUAAAAUUAAAAAUAAAUAAUGGGGGUUAAAGUAUUUUUAAUGGAAAAAAUUUAAAGUUUUAUAGUUAAUUAAGUAUUGUAAAAGAAAUUUGAAAUAUUUGAAAAUUAAUUAGUAGAAAAAAAAAUUUAAUUUAUUGUAUCUUGUGUAUCAGAGUUUAUUAAAUAAAUUUUUUAAUAAAAAAAAUCUCGAAUUUAGAAGAGUUAAUUAAUUAAUAAAGUUAAUAUAACAUAAUUAUUUUAAAUAAUUAAUUAGAAAUGAAAUGUUAAUCGUUUUUAAAUAUAUCUAGUUAUUUUAGAAAAAAAUUAAAUUUUAAAUUUAAAUAAUUUUAUAAUUUUUUAAUUAAAAUUAUAAAAAUUUAAAUUUAAUAUAUUAAGGGAUAAGCUUUAAAUUAAAAAUUUAUAAUAAAUUAAUUUUAAAAUUAAAAUUUCCGCAAUCGGCAUUGUUUAAAAAUUACAACUGAUUAAAAGGAGCCUUAAUAUAAAUAAAAUUCAAUGACAAGAUACGAACAAGUGUAAAAUAAUAAUUUUGUAUUAGAUAAUAUUGAAAAAAAUAAUAAAAUUAGUAUAAAUAUAAAGUUAAAAUUUUAAAUAAAUAUUUAAAAUUAAUAAAAAGGAAUUCGGCAAAUAAUAAUAUUCACUUGUUUAUCAAAAACAUGUCUUUUUGAUUAUAAUUUAAGGUCUAAUCUGCCCACUGAUAAAUAUUAAAGGGCUGCAGUAUAAUGACUGUACAAAGGUAGCAUAAUCAAUAGUUUUUUAAUUGAAAACUUGUAUGAAAGAUUUGAUGAAAUAUAGACUGUCUCUUAUUUAUUUUUAGAAAUUUAUUUUUUAGUUAAAAAGCUAAAUUAAUUUUAAAAGACGAGAAGACCCUAUAGAGUUUUAUAUUUAUUUUUAUUUUAAAAUUAUAUAAAAGUUUUUAUUAAAAUAAAAUUAAUUAUUAUAUUGGGGUGAUAGAAAAAUUAAAUUAACUUUUUUUAAAAAUUAAACAUGAAUAAAUGAUUAAAUGAUCCAUUAAUAAUGAUUAUAAGAAAAAAUUACCUUAGGGAUAACAGCGUAAUAUUUUUUUUUAGCUCAAAUAAAAAAAAAAGAUUGCGACCUCGAUGUUGGAUUAAGAUAAAAUUUAAAUGCAAAAGUUUAAAAUUUUGAUCUGUUCGAUCAUUAAAAUCUUACAUGAUCUGAGUUCAAACCGGUGUAAGCCAGGUUGGUUUCUAUCUUUAAAUAAAAAUAAUAUUUUAGUACGAAAGGAUCAAAUAUUAAAAAUAAUUUUAAUAAAAGAAUAUUAUUAAUUAAUUAAUAAAUUUACUAUUUUGGCAGAAAAAAUGUAAU